AGUGAACGCUGGCGGUAGGCCUAACACAUGCAAGUCGAACGGCAGCACAGUAAGAGCUUGCUCUUACGGGUGGCGAGUGGCGGACGGGUGAGGAAUACAUCGGAAUCUACUUUUUCGUGGGGGGUAACGUAGGGAAACUUACGCUAAUACCGCAUACGACCUACGGGUGAAAGCAGGGGAUCUUCGGACCUUGCGCGAAUGAAUGAGCCGAUGUCGGAUUAGCUAGUUGGCGGGGUAAAGGCCCACCAAGGCGACGAUCCGUAGCUGGUCUGAGAGGAUGAUCAGCCACACUGGAACUGAGACACGGUCCAGACUCCUACGGGAGGCAGCAGUGGGGAAUAUUGGACAAUGGGCGCAAGCCUGAUCCAGCCAUACCGCGUGGGUGAAGAAGGCCUUCGGGUUGUAAAGCCCUUUUGUUGGGAAAGAAAAGCAGCAGGUUAAUACCCCGCUGUUCUGACGGUACCCAAAGAAUAAGCACCGGCUAACUUCGUG
rnacentral:rRNA from 1 species